UACAGAGGGGGCAAGCGUUGUUCGGAAUUACUGGGCGUAAAGGGCGCGUAGGCGGCCUGUUAAGUCGAACGUGAAAUCCCCGGGCUCAACCCGGGAACUGCGUCCGAUACUGGCAGGCUUGAAUUCGGGAGAGGGAUGCGGAAUUCCAGGUGUAGCGGUGAAAUGCGUAGAUAUCUGGAGGAACACCGGUGGCGAAGGCGGCGAUCCUGGACCGG
rnacentral:rRNA from 1 species